rnacentral:tRNA from 1 species
AUUAAAGUGGCAGAAUAUAAUGCCAGGAAUUUAAGCUUCCUUUAUGAAUUUUACUUCCUUUAAUA